AUUGAACGCUGGCGGAAUGCUUUACACAUGCAAGUCGAACGGUAGAGGGGGCAACCCCUCGAGAGUGGCGAACGGGUGAGUAAUAUAUCGGAACGUGCCCAGUCGUGGGGGAUGACGUAGCGAAAGUUACGCUAAUACCGCAUACGAUCUAAGGAUGAAAGCGGGGGAUCGCAAGACCUCGCGCGAUUGGAGCGGCCGAUAUCAGAUUAGGUAGUUGGUGGGGUAAAGGCUCACCAAGCCAACGAUCUGUAGCUGGUCUGAGAGGACGACCCGCCAAACGGAAGCUGAGACACGGUCCAGACUCCUACGGGAGGCAGCAGUGGGGAAUUUUGGACAAGGGACGCAAGUCUGAUCCAGCCAUUCCGCGUGCAGGAUGAAGGCCCUCGGGUUGUAAACUGCUUUUGUACGGAACGAAAAGGUCUCUCUUAAUACGGGGGACUCAUGACGGUACCGUAAGAAUAAGCACCGGCUAACUACGUGCCAGCCGCCGCCGUAACAC
rnacentral:rRNA from 1 species